GCUCAUUCGAAAUUGGCUAUGAACUGUUGAACAUCUACUAAAACUGUAGCAUUAAAAGUAAAAAAACCCAAGUUGGAUUUGUCGAGAAAGAUCAAUAACCAACUGACCUGCUUAUGUGUCAUACAUGCUGCACUUGACUGGCAAUGUUGCAGCCAUAUUGUGACAAGAAGACAAAGUCAGUUGGGUAAUUUGCUCUUCGAUUUUUUACUGGUAACUACUGUGUAUCUUACAUAUACUUGUAAAACCAAAUUCUGGCAAAACAAACAUCCUUACCAUACCAGGAGGGGUGCUGUAUGGGUAAGGAUACUCCAACAAGAAAUGACUAAAAUGGGUUUGUGAGUUCUGAUUUCGCCAGCUAAACUUGCUUCUGAAAUUGUCCUUCCAUGAAUAUGGCAACAUAUCAAGAGAUAUUAGAAGCCAAAAUAACCACCGCUGGUUUUGAUUCAUUAUCAGUUCUUUAUGCUUGAAGAACCUGGCAGUGAACUAUAUGACUUUUCAGUCGGUUCCUGCCUGCUAGGCUUGACCAGAGAUUUGUGACCAAAGUCUUGAAUGGCCCUUUGCCUGAUAUGGUUUCCCAUAAAUGCUCAGCAGUAGCACCCCUCAAAUCGUCAGAUUUUGACACAUCAACCAAAGAUAUGCUCAUAUUAUUCCUGAUGAUGCAGAGUUUCCCAUUAAGUGGAACAAGUGCAGCAGCCUCCAAUGCGCGAGAAUUCCCCAAAUGCAUCUUGCUGUCAAUAUGCUUGCUCCAAGAAUUAGUCACAUCAUCAUAAACCCUAAGUUGGCAGCCAUCCUUACAGUCCAAAGCAUAGAGGCGUCCUUUUAAGGAAGCACUUGGGUUUCUCCAGCCUGCAACCAUGCCAUC
rnacentral:misc_RNA from 1 species